GGGGGAAAAAGCACAGAACAAAGAUAUAAGGUUAAAGUGUAACUGGUUAGAUUGUGACUGUCACCCCCUUGUAUGCUUUUCCUGUAAAUUGUGUCAUGAACCUUGUUGGUCUCAUUGUCGGAGUGGUAGAACACCUAGGGGAAUUUGUACGCCGUGCUAUGAGAAAGAGAGGAGACUAACUUCUAUCAUUCUUAGUAGCAGAGUUGCUACGGGGGAGGUAAAGCUUGGAUCUGACGAGUGGUGGGAAACCUUUUCCAAAGGGGUAAAUCCUGAUCGGUUCUGCUACCACCCUAACGAACCGAUCCCCUUUCUCCUGGACAUCCUGGAAGUGGUGUGUCGGAAGAAAGCCCCCAAUUUGCGGCGUGACCUCUCAUUAAUAAAAGCUAAUAACUGGGCCGCCAGUGCUAAAAAGUGGAAACGGGAGGUUUAUCCGGCUCCUGAAGAAUACCCCUGCUGCCGAGAAGAUGGUAAACCCCAAGGCUCGCAGCAACCGAGUCGUCGGGCGAGGCAGAGAGGUAAUAACCAGUGGAGUCCGUCGGAAGCCCCGACCCCCAUAUGGGAUGUCCAGGAAAUGUUGGCUGUCCUGCCCCAGGAUUGGUAACCCACCACUGGGGAAACCAAAGAGAAGUCACCAAAUAAGGACAUAGGGUGAAGAAGACGCGGCUGAGGAAGACUCCGCAGCCUUUAUCACCGACCACCAGGAGACAGAAGGAUGACCCCCUAGCAACAACCAGCGCAGGCGCAGAGAACUCCGAGAUAACAUGGACUCCUGAAGGAUGGAGAGGAUAAAAGGACUGAAUCAGAAACUAGUUGGUGCGGCAGUAGUGGAGCGGAGACUCCCCUGUCGCCCAGCGCUGAGCCUUUGCUUACGUAGUAUAACUGCUUCAAUAAUUAAUAAAUUCUUUGAUUGGAAA